GGUUCUGGCAUCGAUGAAGGACGCAGCGAAAUGCGAUAAGUAAUGUGAAUUGCAGAAUUCAGUGAAUCAUCGAAUCUUUGAACGCACAUUGCGCCCGCCGGUAUUCCGGCGGGCAUGCCUGUUCGAGCGUCAUUUCAACCCUCAAGCCUAGGCUUGGU
rnacentral:rRNA from 1 species